AUUAAAUGGAAAGGUACAACGUGGACUGAGAUGAGCCGCUCCCAUUUCUUCCUUCAGUAUUCGUUCGUCCUUCCCUGUUUAGAUCUGUUAUGGCUGCUGCUAGACCUGAUCUAUUUCUUCUUCCUCGUUUCGUUUUGAUUCCCAUUUCUGUGAUCUGAUCUGUUGAGAAUUUUCAUUUUCAUUGUCUAAAGUUUUGCGUUGUUAUCUUCUUUAUUUGCUCAAAACCCUAGCUUUCGUCCUCUGGCUUCUUUGAUGAGUGAGGUUGGGAAAAAUUGAAAGGCUCCUGUUCGAAGAAACUGUACAGUUCUUGAAGGAGGAGGCAGCGAGAUUGAGGCAACAAUUGAUAAACUUGCAAGAAACUCCUGUACACAUUUUAUGAGAAUGAAAUCAAAAUAGGCAAAAUCGGGACAAAGAGACGUUUAAGGAUUUGAGGAGGUGCAAUGGAGAUGGAUGAGAGUAGAAGAAUGAUAUAGAUGGUUUUCUUGGAAGUUUUAUAUUAGUUGUCUCAAGCUUGCUGCCUCCCUCUGCCAGAACUAGUAAGUAAAGAUGUGAGAUUUAUCCGUAAAUAUAUGUUUCUAGUAUAUCAGCUAACUAAUAUAAAUUAUGAAGCAAACAAGCUGAUCAGACCAUGGAAUAUUUUUUAUCCUUAACUAUUAUCGAGAUUAUUGACCUCUUCUUAUUGUUCUCGUUGCUAUGAUUUAAAUAUGAGCUCACAUUUUACCUAAACCUUUUAUAAUUUAAGUCAGUUAAGAUUAUGCAAAAUAGAUUAUUAUCAUGUAAGUUUUAGACUUUUAUCAUAUUCUUACAUCGUUUGUUGCCUAUUUUCUUCAGUGCUUACUCGGGGUGCCUUCCUAUCUUGCAUAUGAGAUGGCAUGAAAGCCGAUAUAAAUUUAUGCUUUCUCUCAUGGCUAUUGGUUUGCUCAUAUUCAUGCAUACGAACUACAAAGGAACUGAAAUUUUAGACCCAAAGCAGUGCCUUCUGAAUUUAUGUUUGCUACAGAAGAUAAAUUAUUGUUUCACCCACAAAAUGGCCUCAUCUGAAUUUCUAUAUUAACAUAUAUAAGCGAUAUGUGUUCUUAGGUUAAAAUGAUUUUUGAGAAUUAUUGCUGCUUUAUUAUCUAUGGUAAGAAAACAAUUUAUCUUCUUUUGGAUAAGGGUCAAGUGCUUAGACAGGCUGACGAUUCUAUAUUUCAAUGGUUCCGACCAAACGAGUUCCUUAUGGGUUGCUAUAACUAUAAGAAGUUAAGAAAUAUUGUUUUGUGAAACAACUUUUGAUCUUCUUUCGUACCUGUAAGUGGAACUUGUAAGAAUUCUAGCAGUUCUCUUGUUUCA